GACGAACCGUACGAACGUUAUUCGGAAUCACUGGGCUUAAAGGGUGCGUAGGCGGCCCGGAAAGUUGGGUGUGAAAGCCCUCGGCUCAACCGAGGAAUUGCGCCCAAAACUACCGGGCUCGAGGGAGACAGAGGUAAGCGGAACUUAGGGUGGAGCGGUGAAAUGCGUUGAUAUCCUAAGGAACACCAGGAGCGAAAGCGGCUUACUGGGUCUCAUCUGACGCUGAGGCACGAAAGCUAGGGGAGCGAACGGGAUUAGAUACCCCGGUAGUCCUAGCCGUAAACGAUGAGCACUGGUUUGGAGGGCCCCCCAUAGCCUUCUAGACGUAGCGAAAGUGUUAAGUGCUCCGCCUGGGGAGUAUGGUCGCAAGGCUGAA
rnacentral:rRNA from 1 species